GACGUAGGGUGCGAGCGUUGUCCGGAUUUAUUGGGCGUAAAGAGCUCGUAGGCGGCUUGUCGCGUCGACCGUGAAAACUUGGGGCUCAACCCCAAGCCUGCGGUCGAUACGGGCAGGCUAGAGUUCGGUAGGGGAGACUGGAAUUCCUGGUGUAGCGGUGAAAUGCGCAGAUAUCAGGAGGAACACCAACGGCGAAGGCAGCUCUCUGGGACGUUACUGACGCUGAGACGCGAAAGCGUGGGGAGCAAACAGG
rnacentral:rRNA from 1 species